rnacentral:rRNA from 1 species
AUACGUAGGUGGCAAGCGUUGUCCGGAAUUACUGGGUGUAAAGGGAGCGCAGGCGGGACAGCAAGUCAGUGGUGAAAUUCAUGGGCUUAACCCAUGAAAUGCCAUUGAAACUGUUGUUCUUGAGUGGAUCAGAGGCAAGCGGAAUUCCGAGUGUAGCGGUGAAAUGCGUAGAUAUUCGGAGGAACACCAGUGGCGAAGGCGGCUUGCUGGGGUCUAACUGACGCUGAGGCUCGAAAGCGUGGGUAGC